rnacentral:rRNA from 1 species
GAUGAACGCUGGCGGCGUGCCUAAUACAUGCAAGUCGAGCGAACAGACGAGGAGCUUGCUCCUUUGACGUUAGCGGCGGACGGGUGAGUAACACGUAGGUAACCUACCUAUAAGACUGGGAUAACUUCGGGAAACCGGAGCUAAUACCGGAUAAUAUUUCGAACCGCAUGGUUCGAUAGUGAAAGAUGGCUUUGCUAUCACUUAUAGAUGGACCUGCGCCGUAUUAGCUAGUUGGUAAGGUAACGGCUUACCAAGGCAACGAUACGUAGCCGACCUGAGAGGGUGGUCGGCCACACUGGAACUGGGACACGGUCCAGACUCCUACGGGAGGCAGCAGUAGGGAAUCUUCCGCAAUGGGCGAAAGCCUGACGGAGCAACGCCGCGUGAGUUAUGAAGGUCUUCGGAUCGUAAAACUCUGUUAUUAGGGAAGAACAAACGUGUAAGUAACUGUGCACGUCUUGACGGUACCUAAUCAGAAAGCCACGGCUAACUACGUG